UCCUUAGUAGCUCAGUGGGUAGAGCUUUCGGCUGUUAACCGAAGUGUCGUUGGUUCAACUCCAACCUAAGGAG